CGCCAUCUUGUCGCUCCCCUCCCCCGGGCAGUGGCGCAGCGCGUAAUGGCGGUGCUGGGGGGGGGGGGGGGGGGGUGUGAGGGGAGGAGGGGUCGCUACCCCCCGAAACACACCGGGCUCCGUCACCUCCCCUCAGCGCAGGUGCGGACACCAUAACCUCCUGCUGACACAGAAAACACUGAAGCCACUUCCUGGAAUUUGGGUCAGUAAAAGUCCUGACAAACAUGCUCUGAGGGUCAGGACAUACUGACGUAUCCAAGGAAAAGGACAUGAGUUUGGUUGUCCUUGAUCCACACACAGCAAUUAUUCCUCCAUUUCCCUCCUCCAACAAGAGAGCAUAGGGAAGAUUAAACUCCAGAAGGAUGGCUGGAUUCACCGUGGGAUUCAAAAGAAAAACAAAACUUUUCCACAGUAUUCACACAUAAAGCUAAUCUCUGCUUAGGUUUUCCUGCCCUUAAAGUUGGAGCGCUAGAACCAAAGUCCUCCCAUUCCAGAAAUUAAGCCCUGCAAGGUUUAAACAUCCACAAACAAAUCCUUAAAUGAGCAAAACACCUUCUCACAGACAAACCUGUCAGUUCUGUACAGGACAGGGUCUGGCCUUAAACAAAACAUUUCCCAGUUCUCUCCUUCACUCUUCCACAAUGCUCAUUCAUCCAGCUACAACUCCAGAGUUAAAGAUUUAUAUUUGUAUUUCUUCCCCAUGUGCACCUAUUUAUAUAAUUUAAAACCUUGCAGGUGUCUUCACUGAGGCUGCCUGACAGUUAAAAGGAAAAAAGAAAAAGUUUCUGUAUUCUUUUAAAAAGCUAUUACUGGAUGGAGACCCAAAUUUUGUGGGUUUUUUCUGAAAGCAAGUUUCAAAUAAAUCUUUUAAUUCCUUUUCUUCUUACUGCUUUGGAGACAAUUCUAAUUUCUGAACAAUUCUGCAAUGUUUACAUCCCUGCAGUGUCUUCAGUGCUUUUAUAAACAAGGGCAUUGUUUGAGAUAAUUCAUAUGCACUAGAAAAUGACAUUAAUUAAUUCUUUGCUGUGCAAGUUUUAGAAGUAUCAUAGCAAUUUAAACCCUGAUCCUGCAGUCAGGAAAGUCAGUUCUUGGGGAAAACAGUUUUCCCUCUGUUAUUAAGUUGCCAUCUGCACUAGGAAGGACCAUGUAUUCUCGGUUUCACUUUUAUUCUUCCACAGCUGAGUCAGACACAAUUCCCUGGAGGAAGCUGAGCAGCUCCUGAGUACCUGAGUCAAGCACUAAACCAACACUGGAGUCCUCACAAACCCUGCUCACUGUUAAACUCAGCAAGUUUUUAUUGAUGGGCUCGACCAAAACUGCUUAAAACCUGACACUGCCAGGUGCUUCGACACCCAAGGAUUCCCAAAUUUGCUGUUCCUUCACCUGAAGAGCCUCCUCUGGUAGUCCUACUGAAAGGCUACACUGUUAACCCUCAAAUAGCCAGAAAUACAGUUUUCUGGGUGUAGAGGAGGUUGCAUUAGGAAAACAGUGUCACCAGCUGCCACCAAACCCUUGUGGGCUCUGAAGUCAACAUUGUUUACGAAGUUGUAUCUGCCUUUUAGAAUAUUUUUAUCCAACACUGAUAGAUACUGACCUUGUGUACAUGAGCUUCCUUAUCUGUUUUGAAACUAUCAACAGGUCAUAUGAUACUAACCAUCUUAGCAAGCAGAUUUCUCAUCUUACAGAACUAUGGCCUCACUUCUAAGGAAAGGAGAUAUUUUACUAAUCAUAAAGCAACUCAGGCCCUGAAAUCCAGAGCGUGAUACAAAAUAAAUCCUACCAUGGAUGUAAUUCUCAGGUUGCAGUACUGAAAACUUGUUUAUUGCUCUACAGAGCUGCUUAUGAGUAUGAUACAAUAUUUGUGUGAGUCUUUCAUAUUGUAAGCAGGGCAAUAAAAAUAUAACUUCAAUGUUGCCCAGCCACAGGUUAGCAGAGGGACUUGGAAAGAGUCUUUAGUCAACAGCGUAUAUCUCUCAGUAACAUCAGAAAUCUGUCUUUAACAGCAUAAUUUUUACAUGCUCCAUCUGAUCAGUUCUCAAAGUUCUGUGGAUGGUUUUAGGAGUCAAAAGGCACAAUUUUACUGAUUUGGAGGAAUAACAUGAAAAGAAGAAGCACAUGCAACCAUUGAUGGUACUGCUGGUGAGGCCUUCACUAAAAAGUCUGCAUUUCCCUACAGCAGUGGCUAAAAACUCUUUGGACUCCUUGGAGGAAGAAUGAGUCCAUGACUUUCACGCAGGAGAUACUUCUUGAGCUGGAGUCAGGGCACAGGACUGCCACCCAAGGCUAUCACUGAAAUGGCAGCAGAAUAGAGGCAAAGGAAUGGGAGACAAGACAAAGAUGGUCCCCUUUCGA